UGAAAAGGAAAAAAGAAUCACAGCUCUUUCUAUUCACUCCUUCCUGCCUGUUUUCCCUAGAGGGAGUUAUCUUUUCUUUCCCAGUUUUCCUCCUUUACAAGCACGCUUUUUUUCUUUUUGGCACCAAGGGAAAAGAAAGUACAUAGGAGGAAAUGAAGGAGAAAAGGAUACGUGCAACCUUAAAAAGCAUUUAAUUUCUCUAUUGCUGCCUAAAAUCAGAAGAGAGUUUUUGAAUAGUUUGAAAAUCCUGUUUGCCAUAGCAAUACCAGCAGGGACUCUGCUUCUCAAGUACAAAGCUCCCUCCCGCAGAUGCACAUCAGGAUGUAAGGUGAACUUCAGAAGUGUGUUUUAUGGCAGGAAGAUUCUAUGGUAUAAUAAGAUGACAAAUAAGGUGUGACAACAAAAGAACAGAAAAAGAAAGAAAUCCCUCAAAAAGAAAGAGAAAAAGAAGGGAAAAAAAAAAAAGCAACAGCAAAGAAGGAAGACUCAGAUAUUCUGUCAGCAGGAACCUGAAUGCUGCAGCAGGAUGCAUGAUUGCUGAUGUCCAGAAUAUCCGAUGUGAUAUAUGACUUGAAGAGGAGCCACAUUUCUUCUGUAAAAGAAAUGAAAUAAAAGGAGUGCUGAGCAAAAGGCACCAGGAACCACCGCCCACCUCCCAGAGUGCCAUUCCUCAACUUGGGGACAGAACAACCCCAAAGAGAAACAUACUGGUGUUCCGAGCAGUAGUGACAGGACGAUCCUGAGUGAACAGAAGAUGAAUCAGUGGGUUCCAGGCCAGUCUCUAAUACACAAGAUCCAGUUUUCCCUCAGAUGCUAAAAGGGACGCAGUUUGGGUUUGGAUAUCUGAGAAAGAGGGCAUAAAGGCAGUAAGACCUUCUGUGGGUAAGGUCUCACCUACAUCUUCCAGCCUUGAGCAGUUCAGUGCCUCUCAAGAGUUUUCUCCUGUUCCUCACUCUUGAGGGUCAUCUUAGCACACAGCUGACCCCUGCCUGAUGACACAUGGAGGAAGGCAGCCAGAAUGCUGGUGGUAGCCAUCCCUGGCAAUGUGUGAGGGAUGGAGAUUUUGUGCCAAGAGUGAGCAAGAAGCAAAACAUGGACUCUUUGCUCCCACCACCAAAUCUGUGAGUCCCUUUCCUCUGGGGUGCCUGUCCCAUCCAGGAUUACAUCCAUGCCUGAAUCUACUGGCUUUUUCAUUCCUCUCCUCUGUCCCUGUAAUGCCAAGUCACAGGGCUGCACUCUUCCCUUGCUGAGCAGUGCUGGUGUCAGGGAAAGAGGAGGAGGAAGCAAUGCAGGGAAGUUCAGAAGGAUCUGUGCAAUGAUUCUAUAGGGGCAGUUUGUCAUGUCAGCCCUGUGGACACCAACCUCAAUGCAUUCAAGAGCUCCCAGUGGGUGAGCAGAACCAAAGCACAUUAGUAGCAUCCAUCCAUCCUCUCCCGACAGCCAGGUCCCUGUGACCACAGAGGUAUGUUUCUGAAGUACUACAGAGGGCUUUUUGGUGUUAAAUUCUGUUUUUCUGGCAUAUUUAUUGAGACAUUGCCCCUCUAAGCUUUUUGAAACAUGGGCUGAGGUCAUUAGCACAGUUCGUAAUUUCAGCAGCGCUUGUGAACCUUCAGAUUUAGUUUGUUGUUUCAUCAGAGUCAUUUUCUUCAGCACAUCUUUUUUAAUUAUUUUUUAAUCCAUUCCCUCCCCACAUGCACAGACCUCACAGGGAUUUUCAUGCAUUUAAAUGAAAAAGCUGAACGGUUCCCUUUUCUUGUUCACAUUAUGCAGCAUUGCCCUUCUCUGUUCUUAUCCUAUUUCAGAGCUGUCAUGCAAACAAACCCAACUUAAAAAAAAAAAAUUAAAAAUCAUUACAGAGGUAUGCAUCCUGUCAACCCUCUGUCUUGGCUACUUCUCACUGUAUGUGUAAGGAGAAAUCCCUUCUCCUGAUUGCGCUUCUCUUUCAGGUAUAUUGACUUCUUUUUAAUCUCUAAUUCAUUAUUUCUCUGGCUCCCCAAAAUGCUCUGGUCUGCUCUGGUUGCCCAAUAAACCACUACUCCCUUCCCUACCAUGCAUAGGUAGUACUUACUUUUCCAGGGCUAUGGAACUCUUGUUUUCAUUGAUAUUUUCUUCUUCAACUAAUCUAGAAGGGGAGGAUUGUUCUUUUCUGUAAAGUCUGUUCUGUGAAGCAUGCUGUGCUGCUAGGACAACCCCUUGUCUUUUUCCACAUGUGUAUGCCUUAGCAAAGUAGUCAUUGCAACUCUUUCCUCCACAAUUUAAGUAUCUGAUUGUUUUCAAUAUUAUUUCUUACUCUUGUAUAUCAUCUGAGUCAGCUUUUAAGGAAGGCUGAGCCAGAAAACUUCAACAGGCGUUAAUAUCAAUUUCAUUUAUUUAUUUAUUUGCCAAGCCAGCUCUUAUUAGAAAUCUUCACCAUGCCAAGAAGUUACUCUCUGGGAAGCCUUUUCAUGUCCCUGAUCAAAAUGUAGGGACACUGGCUUCUGCAAGGUAAGCAGUAUGAGCUCCUGUGUGAUUUUCACAAUGGCAAUGGAAAAAAACCUUACCUUUAGCAGAGUCCAAACACAGAAGAUGCAUCCAGCUCUGGGAUUUCUUAGAGGGCAACCCCAGGAAGUAUCAUUUUUGCUUACUCUCAGCACAAGUACAUGGCUCUCAUUAUUGACUCUCCUGGGCAACAGCCAUAAACCAGGCUCAAACACAUAUAAAAAGGGGAAAGACAGCAGGGCUGUAAUGAUCAUGACAGCAAGUGGAAGUGUGAUGGGACAGGGCUCAAAAGAGACAACUACAAAUUGCUCCCGAGGAGGUAUAUAUCUUGUUCUUACUGCAGCUGAAGCUCUUAUUGGGAAGAUGUGGAUGUCAGCAUAGCUCUGGCAGGGAAUUUGUGCUAGCUGCAGAUGGAAAGAGUGAUAGAGCGUGGAAUAGGUAUGGAACAACAGGUCAAGGCUUUUGCCUGGUCUCUGAUAUCCCUCUGAUGGCCACGAGGCUGCCUUUUCUGAAGGAGGGUACAUUCUUGUAGCAAGAAAUGUAGUGGAAAAAUAACUAUUUUUUACUUAUUUCUCAAGCCCAUGAAGGAGCACGUAUAUGGAUAGCGGGAGACCAAGAAUUGAUAGGUAUGAAAGCAGCUCUGCCAACUCUUGUGCAGAACAUCAAACAGUGAAUUUAGACUGCACCAUCUUCCCAUCUCCCUGGAAAAACUUCCGAUGUUCUUGAUUUUAUCCACACAGGGAGGAUGAAAUGCUGUAAAUCUUAAUGAUUUGUGGGAUGGGGGAUAUUUCUCGCUUUCUAUAAAUACGUUAACCUCUUUGUCAGUGGGGAAUAAAGAUCUGCUUUGAAUUCAUGUUGCAUUUUUAAAGUUUCUUUCUAAGAUUCCUUUUUUUCCCCUUUUAUUUCCCGUCUCUUCUCAUGUAUCUCAGAAGAAACCAGCCUGCCAAACUGCUCCAGGAACCUCUUCUAAGCUCCUCUAUACUUUUCACUCAGCCCAGGUGCCAAAACGUGCGUGGCUGCAUCUUGAACAAACAAAAGCCUUUCACUGCACACCUGGCAAGUCAGCACUCCAAAAAAUAAAUACGAAGGUAUUCUGCUGAAGAACUGAGGCUCUCCUUGCCUGAAAACUAAAUGCCUUGGGACUGUGGACUAAGGCAGAUAUUUUUAGUGCCAUCAAUAUCUCCUGGAGUUGAUAUCUCCCAAGACAGAUGGUUGUUUCCCACAGAACGUUGUCAGAUGUUUGCUCAGCCAAGAUCAAUUUUGUUCCAAGUCCUUUCC
rnacentral:lncRNA from 1 species